UACAGAGGUCCCAAGCGUUGUUCGGAUUCACUGGGCGUAAAGGGUGCGUAGGCGGUUUGAUAAGUCUGAUGUGAAAUCCCGCAGCUUAACUGCGGAACUGCAUUGGAAACUGUUUGACUAGAGGAAUGGAGGGGAGACUGGAAUACUUGGUGUAGCAGUGAAAUGCGUAGAUAUCAAGUGGAACACCAGUGGCGAAGGCGAGUCUCUGGACAUUUCCUGACGCUGAGGAGCGAAAGCGUGGGGAGCGAACAGG
rnacentral:rRNA from 1 species